rnacentral:rRNA from 1 species
CCUACGGGUGGCAGCAGUGAGGAAUAUUGGUCAAUGGACGAGAGUCUGAACCAGCCAAGUAGCGUGAAGGAUGACUGCCCUAUGGGUUGUAAACUUCUUUUAUAUGGGAAUAAAAUGUUCCACGUGUGGGAUUUUGUAUGUACCAUAUGAAUAAGGAUCGGCUAACUCCGUGCCAGCAGCCGCGGUAAUACGGAGGAUCCGAGCGUUAUCCGGAUUUAUUGGGUUUAAAGGGAGCGUAGGUGGAUUGUUAAGUCAGUUGUGAAAGUUUGCGGCUCAACCGUAAAAUUGCAGUUGAAACUGGCAGUCUUGAGUAAAGUAGAGGUGGGCGGAAUGCGUGGUGUAGCGGUGAAAUGCUUAGAGAUCACGAAGAACUCCGAUUGCGAAGGCAGUUCACUGGACUGCAACUGACACUGAGGCUCGAAAGUGUGGGUAUCAAACAGGAUUAGAUACCCUUGUAGUC